CUGUGAUAAGAUUGUCUUCAGUAGGGUCUUAACUGAUCCAAACUGUAGCGAAUGAUGAGUCUGGGAUAUGAUCUUUUGAUUAUAAUCCGCUUACUCUCGAGGGAUCGCAACCCCUCGUUUGUAAAUGUUUGACGCUAUAUGAAGACCAUUUUUAAUACAAUUGAAAAAUUUGAUCAAAGAAGUGAUCUUCAAAAGUUUCCCCGAAUAUUACAAGAAGCUCAUUAGCCACAAUGCACUUUUGCUUUCGCAUACGUAGUACGUAUACGAACCUAACCUCAGUUUGUCUUUUGUGUAUUGCGGUUGUUUAAUAAUUGUUUACGUUUCGCUUAUGUAUAUGAAUUAUUCGUUUUUGCAAGUAUAAAUAAAGUAUUACGAAUAACAUUAUUCCAAAUGUUCUAAUUUGCAAGGUCAUGUAAAAAAAAAUCAUCCUGGUAAGUAGAAAUGUUUCGUUAAUUUUAUUUCUAUUUAAUGUUACUUGCAAGUCAGUUUCAGGCGAGGCGGUUCAUCGUUCAAAUUUACUAAAGUUUAUUUUAUUUUUGCCUACAUUCUAAGUUAUUACUGAUGUAAAGAAGUAACACAAAUUAACAUUACAUUUCAUAAAUCGGGACUCAUUUUUUAAAUUCUUCACUAUAAAGAAGUUGAAGAAUAUGAAGUUGGCGUCUUCUCUAUUCGCCGUGAAUGAUAGCUUGCGUUAUCCAUAACCACCACCGAAUUAGCCGGAAGAAAUUUUAUCAUUUCACCAAAAUAGUCCUCGAAAACGUCUGAGUUCAUGUUUUCAUGGUAAUUUCCUGUGCGAGUCGACUCAAAGGUAAGUCUUUUUCCUUUUCCCGAAGGUACUUUAAUACCCGUAGACAGGCCUUCUAUGAAAGCUUGGCGAGCACUGGUUAUAUUUUUGUCUUGCCACAUUUUUUGGACUAUAUAACCUUCGUUAAUCCACGUCUCAUCAAGAUAAAAAACUUUCUUUUGCUCCCUGCGGUACUGCUUGAUACUUCUCAAGUAUUGUCGUCUCCAACAAACAAUUUCGUCGCUCUCCAGUAAAAGUGCUUUGCGGUUAUGCUUUUCCCAGGCAAAAUCCAUAUUUUUUAAAGUUUUCCAUAAAAGUUUUCUACUUAUCAACGGAAUACUGUCAUCUCGGCCAAGCUCCAUUAAAAUUUUGUCUAGGGUGGGUAUUUCCUUUUUAAAAUAAAAAGAGUGAACUUUUCUUCGAAUUAUACAUUUAGCAUUUUCAUCAAGGAAUUUUGUAGGUCGUCCUGGCUUUUGCUUGGGAGAUUCCACUUGACCUGCUACUUUUCUUUCCCGCAACAAUUUGAAAAUGGUGGACUUUCCAAUUCCCCUUAUUCGAGAACAUUUUUCAACAAUUUCUUGCACAGUAAAACUAGGGUAAUCGUGUUUUAUGCAAUCAUGUACAUUUAAAAUAAUAACUUUUUCACUCAGCGAUGGUGGAGAAUUUUUAGUACAUCUUUUCGUUGGACUGAAUACCUCCAUUUUUUAAAUAUUGGGAUAAUAAUAUUGUGAUUACACUACAGCGUAGCAGUGACUACUAACGUUUGAAAUAUGAUUUAAAAGUAUUUAUAGUCUGUAUAUAUUACCUGACCCCAUUUUUGCAUGUUACAAAGCGUUAAAAGAUAGGUACCUAUACAAAAGGAUUAAAAGUAUUUAUUUAGUAUUUAAUCUCUUUCAAAAUAAAGGCAUUUAAUCCGUGAAAAUUAAAUUCAUAAAUAUUAUAAGUACCUGCGCCUAUGAACUACCACGAAAUGUAGCCAAACAGAACGGAAUUCCCCAGUUUAUUGCUCUAUACACUUCUGAAAUAGAGUAUAGCAAUGAUUACUUUGUAGUUAUUUGAUUAUUUUACAUCACUAGUUUGGUAUACAGGGUGUUUUUUAGAUAUUGCGACAAAAUUCAGGAACGUGUUUUUUGGACAAAAAUAAGAAAAAAAGUUCCUAUAAACAUAGGUCCUAAACAAAAAAAAAAUAAAUUUACAUUAAAUUAUAGCGAUCAGUCAAAGUAGAAAAAUGUUUUUUAAUUUUUUGUGCGAAAACCGUGCAUCUAACGGACAAAGUCCAAGGGAUCAAAAAUGUUGCAAAUAAAACGGGGAAUUUAAAAAUAUUUUUUAAUACAAGAAAAACCAGUGGCGUACCAUUUUUCUUUAUAAAAGUAUUCAGCGAAAAACCCGCACACACGCCACUGGAGAACAUAAAAAUGUUAAAAGUAUGUUGGUAAAUGGCUCUGGAUACACAGACCCUUGAAUCCAAACAAUGCUUGAAUCUUUUGUUCAAUCAUUAUUAUCUACAGAAAGUACCAUAGAAUUCGGAAUAUAUUUUAAAACAUAUUAUAUCAAUAAUAUGGAGUCUUGGGCUUACUGUUUUCGGCUUAAUGCUGGACUCAAUACAAAUAUGCAUUUGGAGCGAAUGCACCGAACUAUAAAAUACUUAUACUAGGGGCAUCUCAAUAUUAAAAUGAAACUUAUUUCAUUUUAGCAAAUUUUUAUUUUAAAAACGUUUUAAAUGUUAUCUAUAAUAAAAAAAUAACCGUUUUCCUUCUGUCUAAUAAAUUGGCCAAAAAUUUGGUUCUUAUCCAAAUAAGUUACUCGAACUUUGCUAAUAACAUUUAAAAUGAUUUUCUAACGAAAGUAAUUUAAUACAUUAUUAAAUAAAUAAAAUUCUCCUCGGCAGACACACAGAAUAAACUAUAUAAAAUCAGCCUGUUCUUCUUCACGCGUGCGCAAGCAAAAGUGCAUUGUGGCUCCCGAGCUUCUAGUCAAAUAUUGAGUGAGUUGAGAAUGUUGGGAUUAAUUCCAAGUAAGUCUGAGAUCUCAAACUGCCAAAAUGCAAGUCUAAACAAGAUUGCAUUGCAUCAGUUUGCAUCCCUCAGAGAAAUAUUUGGGAUUGGGACCUUACUUCACCUAAAUUAUAUUUACACUUUUGAAAUGAAAUAUUUUCUGAAUAAGCGAAAAAUGAGCAAAAAAAGAAUGGCUCAUUCAAACGAUCUGCUCAAAUCGUUCUAGGCGGAGUGGGAACUUGAUCCCGAAUGUGGAUCGGGUCCGAAUGAAGUUACGACAUACGAUACGUGCCGUGCGUUUACUGCCUUCUGUUAUUUAUGUUCUGUGCUUCCUAACCUCAAAUUAAAAUGUAAAAUAAAAAAAAAAGAGAACCUAAACUUUUUAUUGACUAAUAUUACGUUUUCUGCUGAUUGUAAACCAAAAUGAAUCAAAAUGAGUGUGUACGAUGUGAAAGAACUUAUAGUUCCGUAUCAAAUUUAAGAAAACACUUAAAAAAAUUUCAUUCGAAAGAAGAAUCUCAAAAAAAACCUCGUUAACUCCUUUAAAGUAUAAUAAAAAUUCUGAUUUUUCCAAUAUAAGAUGUAGUGUGUGUAAAAAAACUUUUACUCAUAAAAAAAGUUUAAGGAGGCAUGUCAAAAUACAACAUGAGCAAAAGGAGAAUAACAUAUUACAAAAAAAAACCUAAAAGACCCAAAAAAAUGUUCCUUAUGCCAUUAUACUGUGAAUGUGAUUAUUUCUAGUGAAAAUCGAAACUGAAACAAAUACAAAAUAUAUUAAAAAGACGCAAGCAGAAUCAUUUCAGUCUCAUACCUCUAUUUGUUAUGUUUGUCAUCGCUCUGGAAACUAUUUUCCUAAAGGAAAAGGAAAGCGAACCCUUAAGACACAAGGAUCCAAUAAAAUAAAUGCUUAUUGGCCUUCACACAUCCAGUUAAUUAUUAAAAGUGAAGGAGAUGUAAAAGUAAAGUACCUUGAUAGUCAUGUUGGACAUAAGCUUGAUAUAUGUAGGUAUAAUUUGAUAUAGUCGGAUUUAUUUAUUUGAUAUAAAAAUGAUUAAAAAAUUACAUUAUAGGUACAAAUUUGCCACUAUCAAUUAAAAAAAUACUUAAAUUUUUUGAAAUACCUACUAAUUAUGUAACCUCAAAGUUUAAAUUUAGACAUAUCUGCCUACAUAAAUUAAAAAAAAAAUUAAGGUCACCUACAGCUAACUCAAUUGGAAAGAAAAAAUAUUGCAUCUAAGAUUGCUGCAAAAAUACCGUUUGAUAGUAUAUUGGAUGAAAUUUGAGAUUCAAUUACUGACGAAAAAUUAAAAAGAGUGAAUCUUACAACAAAAAAGACUUAUUUAACAUUGAAGCAGCAUUUAAUUUGUCUUCUUCAUCAGUUCGACAUCCGAAUGAUGCCAUUAGUGUCGAAUCUUGGGUCUUGGAGAUGCAGCGUACAGGAAAUUCUAUUUUGUUUUAUAAGCCACAGGGAAUAAUUUUGGAAGAACUACCUCAGUUAAAAAAUGAAGAUUUUGUCCUUAUUAUAAUGACACCAGCCCAGUCUGAAAUAUUUAAAAAAAAUUGGAUCUGACUGCAUAUGUUUAGAUGGAACACAUGGAAUGAAUGCUUACAACUUUGAAUUGCACACAUUACUUAUAGUUGAUGAUCUCAGAGAAGGAUUUCCUUGUGCUUUCCUCUUAUCAAAUCGGGCUGACAUAGUUGUGACUACCUUAUUCUUUAAUGAGAUAUUAAAACGAGUUGGAAUAAUAACACCAAACAUUUUUAUGUCUGACCUAACUGACAUAUACCUAUGCUUGGCUUCAAGUGAUGGGCAUUCCAAAGAAAAGAUUAUUUUGCACUUGGCACCUUGAUCGUGUAAAAUUACUAUCGUAUUUCUGAAGGGGUUGGAAAUAAUCAAGUUGCUUGUUACUAUACGACUGACUUUUAUUACGUUCAAAUCAACCAAAUCAUAUACAGCAACGUUUGCAAUAAUUAAGUAGGUAACAAUAAUGGGGUUCCUAAUAGGUUCAAAUAAGUUUAUAGUUAUAUAAAUAAUUUAAAGGAAAGCAUUUUUCACCACAAUCGUGCAUGAAGGAAGAAUCUCUCCAAAAUUAAGAAUCAGGAAAAAAAAGUAAGUGAAUGCACAGUGAGCCUCAAAAAAUGGGAUUAAUGGUAGAAAAAGAGAGAUUUAGCUCACAAAAUUUUAAUGGCCAAAAACCUCUAACCCUUUAUUUUUCUAAGAUAAAGUUAUCUAUUCCUUUCUAGUGGAAAAAAAUUUCUUUAACAGCUAAUUAAUAUUCUUUGUGGCAGGUUUUAAUAUACAAAGAACUAAGAACAUUACUUCAGGAAAGAGAUUCCGUAGCAUUUGAAAGAAUGUUACAAAAUUAUUGCAAUAACAUGUCUGAUCCAGAAACAGUGGAUUUUAAAAGCUAUUUCAAAGAAAACUAUCAAAAUAAUACCAAAUACUGGGCUUAGUGCUAUAGAUUACAUUCGGGCUUGAAUACGAACAUACAUUUAGAAAGAAUGCAUAAAACCAUUAAAUAUAUUUAUCUUGGAACAAAAAAAGUGAAAAGAUUUGAUAAAGGAAUUGGAGCUCUCAUGAGAUUUGUAAGAGAUAAACUUAUUGAUAGACUAACAGUUGCAAACAAAGGAAAAAUUUCUAGCAAGUUAAAAACUAUUCGAGACCGACAUGAUAAAAGUACAAAAAUGGACCACAAUGUGGUUGUUUCCACAGAGCAUGGAUGGGACAUCCCAUCAGAACAUAGAAGGGAAAUCUACUUCAUUCAAGAAAUUAACAUCUCUUGUAAAUGUCAGCUUUUAUGUUCAAAAUGCAAUGUAUGUCUUCAUAGAUAUUAUUGUAGUUGCCAAGACUCCGCAAUACAGUUGAAUAUGUGUAAGCAUAUCCACCUACUUGCCACAUUUAGAAGUUCCAAUGAAAUAGUAGAUAACGUACAUCAGAUAACUUUGAUACAGACUACUGAUAUUUACUGUUAAUUAAAAUUAAUAUUAUGUACACGAAUCUCCACCUAAAUUAUGUAUUGACAACUCUGAUGGAAAUGAGAAAUCGGAUGUAAUUCUUCAACAGUUAUCCACGAAACCAAAACGACAAAAGUGUGUCAGUGCACGAAAGGCAACAAAAACUGGCAAUGCAGUUUCAAGAUAUUUUAAAUUCUGCUAAUACUGACCAAAAGUUGGAUGUUGUUGAAAGAGUUCUCAAUUCUCUCCUGCCCACCCUAGAAGCUUUAGACCACAACACCAUGGCUUUUCCAUCAACUAAACACAUUGUGCAUAAUGAAAAAAUCACACCACAGUGAAGAUUUUCGUCCACAAAGAAAAAACAAAAAAAAAAGUCUGCAAUAAAGGGAUCUCUUUACAGGAAUCAGAUACUAUUGCGGUUGAAUUAUUAUUGGAUGUAAAGAAAUAAAACUGUUUUUU